rnacentral:rRNA from 1 species
UACGAAGGGUGCAAACGUUGCUCGGAAUCAUUGGGCGUAAAGCGCACGUAGGCGGCUUCAAAAGUCGGAUGUGAAAUCCCUCGGCUCAACCGAGGACGUGCAUCCGAAACUGUGAGGCUUGAGUACUGAAGAGGAUCGCGGAAUUCCCGGUGUAGAGGUGAAAAUUCGUAGAUAUCGGGAGGAACACCAGUGGCGAAGGCGGCGAUCUGGGCAGAUACUGACGCUGAGGUGCGAAAAGCGUGGGGGAGCGAACAGG